AUUGAACGCUGGCGGCGUGCCUAACACAUGCAAGUCGAACGAGUGGCGGACUGGUGAGUAAUGUCUGAGCACCUGGCUAAUCUAGGCGUAUGACUGCUGUAAACGGUGGCUACUACCGCAUACCAUCCGAUGUGCCGUGGUGGAAUUAGGUUGUUGGUGGGGUAAAGGCUCACCAAGGCGACGAUGCCUAGCUGGUCUGAGAGGAUGACCGGCCACACUGGAACUGAGACACGGUCCAGACUCCUACGGGAGGCAGCAGUGGGGAAUAUUGGACAAUGGGCGCAAGCCUGAUGCAGCCAUGCCGCGUGUAUGAAGAAGGCCUUCGGGUUGUAAAGUACUUUCAGCGGGGAGGCGGUACCCGCAGAGGAAGCACCGGCUAACUCCGUGCCAGCAGCCGCGGUAAUUC
rnacentral:rRNA from 1 species